UGAUGCUUGAAUCACGGGCUCGUCCGUAUUAAAUGUACUCUUAAUUUGAUCUACCUGUGUCCUCUCUUCAUUGAUGAACAUCCACCUUCAGAUCAACAUCAUUUCAGUGUUUCACCUCUCUUCAUCUCUUCGCUCUGGCGUCAAGCAGAAUUCCAGCAGAAACUGUCCCAAGUCCAGCCAGCAGAAAUGGCACCAAGAUCUGCAGCACCAUGGAGCAGAGAGAUUCUGCAGGUGCACCUGAGUGACCUCCAUCCUUUUCUCUCGUGGAUCCGCUGAGCCUCGAUCCGCUGUAGAGCUCAUUGGGGAUCAGAGAGUCCGUCUCGCUGUACUCCCGCGGCUCAUGAUAGAGUCCUGCGUUGACUGAUGGUAUAUUUCCAUUCGAGUUCACAUGUUGUGGACUUCCAGAGAGCUGAGAUAAAGACGGGAUGGAUCUCCAGCCCGCAGAUCCACUCUGGGUCAGUUUGUUAUCCUGUGACUCUGGGACAACCAUGUUGCAGAGUUGGGUGGGAUGUUGCUCCUGCUGCUCCAGCUUGAGGCUGUGAAAAAGAGAGUUGGACUAUAUCAGCAACACCAAGAAUGAUUCGCUCUGAAGAACACUGGUUGACAAUGAAAUACAACUUAGUAGCUAUAACUACCAGCAUGCAGAAUCUCAACCAACUUCCUCCCCUCUUCUUCCAUGAACAAAUCAAGUUUGUGACUUUAGCAUGUACGUAGACAGCCUGACUGAUGAAUAAGGCCUGUUUCAGAGUCAUCUGAUGGCACGGAUCGCCUGCAUUAUCAUUCCUCAUGCCUGUUUCCCAUCAGCAACACUGAGGCUGCGUUGUCCGACAGAGACAAUACACUUCAUGUGAAAUUCCGAAGAGAUGAGCAGGUAGUAAACAGCUGAGGUUAUCAAGUUAGAAAGGAGGAAUUGUACAAAAUGUGUGUCUUUUUCACAAGCUGCAGUAAUGUUGUGAGCAGUGUAUCACAGUAUCAAUUAUAAAUAAUCUACUUUAUCCUGUAGAAAAAGCUUUAAAAGCUGAUAACUUUGCUGUUAACUGUCCCAGCCACAGCUUAAGGCUGUGGGCUGUGGUAGUGCUUCCUGCUCUCUCUCUCUCCUAGGUGUGUUCUUGGUGAAGCUGGCAGCAGGUGUGCUGCAUCGUAAUCAGCAGACGAGCUGCAGGUGGAGCUGAGUGACUGGUCUCUGAGCGUCUCUAUAAAAGCAGAUGGCACCCGUCAUUCGAAGCUGGACCGUUGUCUAAUCUCCAGUUAGUGCUAGGAGCAGAACUGUCUUUGCCACCAGCCUAGAAUUUCCAGUAAUUCUGUUUUCUGUGUUUAGAAAGCUGAUUCCUGCCUGCUGAGUUGCCUGGGUUCCUUCGUCUGCUGGUUUCCGCCCAACCACGGAUUCUGCCUUCUUGUCCGGAGGAUCUCCACCUGUCGCCAGCUUAACCUGGGAACAUCAACUUACACCUGGAAAGAGGGCUUUCUCUGGAAACAUCUACCACGACCGGGUUCUACUGAUACCAACUUACCAAACACAUGGCGAACACCGGGAGGGAGACUUCUGGAUGAAGUCAAACCAAAAGGACUGUUCUCAGCUCACCAGCUAAAUCUCCAAGCCCUAGUAUCACCAGACUCUUUGUGUUGUUAAUACGUCAAAUUAAAUAAUCAGCGUUCCGUAUUUAACUUAAUGUAUUUUAUGCUCUGCAUAGGAUAGCUUUAGUCUGGGGUUUCAGCUCAUAAUUACAGGUAGUCUAGGCUGGGUUAGUUUUGUAUUUUCAGUUGUUUCCCUACCUUGGUGUUACCAUAUGUGGGUUAACCUUCGUUUCAGUUUCCAUGUUCAUGUAGUUAUUCCUCCGUACCUCUAGAUGGUUUUUGUUUGUUAGUUCUAGUAGUAGUUUAGUUCUUCUUUGUCUAAGAUUCUAGUUCUGGUUCCUGUAUUGAGUUUCUUGUUGUGAAUAAAAGCGUUUUUAAAAUGUU